CUUACACAUGCAAGUCGAACGAACCUUCGGGUUAGUGGCGGACGGGUGAGUAACGCGUGAGAAUCUGCCCUCAGGAGGGGGAUAACGGCUGGAAACGGCCGCUAAUACCCCAUAUGCCGCGAGGUGAAAUGAAUUUCGCCUGAGGAUGAGCUCGCGUCUGAUUAGCUAGUUGGUGUAGGUAAUGGCUCACCAAGGCAUCGAUCAGUAGCUGGUCUGAGAGGAUGAUCAGCCACACUGGGACUGAGACACGGCCCAGACUCCUACGGGAGGCAGCAGUGGGGAAUUUUCCGCAAUGGGCGAAAGCCUGACGGAGCAACGCCGCGUGAGGGAUGAAGGCUUCUGGGCUGUAAACCUCUUUUAUCAAGGAAGAAGAUCUGACGGUACUUGAUGAAUAAGCCACGGCUAAUUCCGUGCCAGCAGCCGCGGUAAUACGGGAGUGGCAAGCGUUAUCCGGAAUUAUUGGGCGUAAAGCGUCCGCAGGCGGCCCUUCAAGUCUGCUGUUAAAAAGUGGAGCUUAACUCCAUCAUGGCAGUGGAAACUGUUGGGCUUGAGUGUGGUAGGGGCAGAGGGAAUUCCCGGUGUAGCGGUGAAAUGCGUAGAUAUCGGGAAGAACACCAGUGGCGAAGGCGCUCUGCUGGGCCAUCACUGACGCUCAUGGACGAAAGCCAGGGGAGCGAAAGGGAUUAGAUACCCCUGUAGUCCUGGCCGUAAACGAUGAACACUAGGUGUCGGGGGAAUCGACCCCCUCGGUGUCGUAGCCAACGCGUUAAGUGUUCCGCCUGGGGAGUACGCACGCAAGUGUGAAACUCAAAGGAAUUGACGGGGGCCCGCACAAGCGGUGGAGUAUGUGUUUAAUUCGAUGCAACGCGAAGAACCUUACCAGGGUUUGACAUCCUGCGAAUCUCUUGAAACAGGAGAGUGCCUUCGGGAACGCAGUGACAGGUGUGCAUGACUGCGUCAGCUCGUGUCGUGAGAUGUGGAUAAGUCCCGCACGAGCGCAACCCACGUCUUUAGUGCAGCAUUAGUGGCACUCUAGAGAGACUGCCGGUGAUAACCGGAAGAAGGGGGGAUUGACGUCCAAGUCAUCAUG
rnacentral:rRNA from 1 species